rnacentral:rRNA from 1 species
AGCGAACGCUGGCGGUAGGCCUAACACAUGCAAGUCGAACGGCAGCACAGUAAGAGCUUGCUCUUACGGGUGGCGAGUGGCGGACGGGUGAGGAAUACAUCGGAAUCUACUUUUUCGUGGGGGAUAACGUAGGGAAACUUACGCUAAUACCGCAUACGACCUACGGGUGAAAGCAGGGGAUCUUCGGACCUUGCGCGAUUGAAUGAGCCGAUGUCGGAUUAGCUAGUUGGCGGGGUAAAGGCCCACCAAGGCGACGAUCCGUAGCUGGUCUGAGAGGAUGAUCAGCCACACUAGAACUGAGACACGGUCCAGACUCCUACGAGAGGCAGCAGUGGGGAAUAUUGGACAGUAGGCGCAAGCCUGAUCCAGCCAUACCGCGUGGGUGAAGAAGGCCUUCGGGUUGUAAAGCCCUUUUGUUGGGAAAGAAAAGCAGCAGGUUAAUACCCCGCUGUUCUGACGGUACCCAAAGAAUAAGCACCGGCUAACUUCGUG